UACAGGGGGGGCAAGCGUUGUUCGGAAUUACUGGGCGUAAAGGGUUCGUAGGUGGCCAUUUAAGUCAGACGUGAAAUCCCUCAGCUCAACUGGGGAAUUGCGUCUGAAACUGGAUGGCUUGAGUGCAGGAGAGGAAUGCGGAAUUCCAGGUGUAGCGGUGAAAUGCGUAGAUAUCUGGAGGAACACCGGUGGCGAAGGCGGCAUUCUGGACUGUAACUGACACUGAGGAACGAAAGCCAGGGGAGCAAACGGG
rnacentral:misc_RNA from 1 species